rnacentral:misc_RNA from 1 species
GAUGAAGAACGCAGCGAAAUGCGAUAAGUAAUGUGAAUUGCAGAAUUCAGUGAAUCAUCGAAUCUUUGAACGCACAUUGCGCCCGCCAGUAUUCUGGCGGGCAUGCCUGUUCGAGCGUCAUUUCAACCCUCAAGCACCUUCGGGAGCUUGGUGUUGGGGAUCGGCAGGGCGUCCUCCGGGUCGCGCCGUCCCCCAAAUCUAGUGGCGGUCUCGCUGUAGCUUCCUCUGCGUAGUAAUACACCUCGCUCUGGAGUCUCGGUGCGGCCACGCCGUAAAACCCCCAACUUUUUUCUGGUUGACCUCGAAUCAGGUAGGACUACCCGCUGAACUUAAGCAUAUCAAUAAGCGGAGA